rnacentral:rRNA from 1 species
GACGAACCGUGCAAACGUUGUUCGGAAUCACUGGGCGUAAAGGGCGCGUAGGCGGUCACGCACGUCCGUUGUGAAAUCGCUCGGCUCAACUGGGCGGGGUCAGCGGAUACGGCGUGGCUGGAGCAAGCUAGGGGGCAAUGGAAUUCCCGGUGUAGUGGUGGAAUGACGUAGAUAUCGGGAGGAACACCAGUGGCGAAGGCGGUUGCCUGGAGCUUUGCUGACGCUGAUGCGCGAAAGCGUGGGGAGCGAUCCGG